GGAAGUUUCCUUCAGACGCUGAAACUCCUCUGGAGAGCUCACCAUCAUGGCUUCCUUUCUCUUUCUCCUUGCUCUUUUUAUUUACUGCUCAGGUAAAGCUGUGGAGAAGAUCUCAUUUUCCACUGGCCAACAGAAAGCUAAUAGCAUUUAUCAUAUUUUUUUAUUUGAGAACAGUGAAAAUGUUCCUUUUUCUCAUUUUUUUUAAAACAGGUGUCAACUGCCAAUCAAUUUGCACUCAGCCUGCCUCUGAGUCUGUGGCGCCGGGUCAAACAGUUAAACUCUCCUGUACAACUAGUGAUACUGGCGACGCUGUUCGCUGGUAUCAACAGAGAUCAGGGCAGGUCCCUCGAUUUGUGCAGUAUGAGGGUAGCAGCAGGGGAGAAGGGAUCCCGGAUCGAUUCACGGCUUCUCGCUCAGGGAACAUUGGCUAUUUAACCAUCACCAACGUCCAGGCUGAAGACGAGGCUGUUUAUCACUGUUGCAGAUGGUAUGACAGUGUUAAUGGGUUCCACGGUGACACAAACCAAUGGGGAAGUGUGACAACAACCUUUCCUCUUCCUUUUCCACCAAAGAGCAGUGAGAUGUGAAUACUGAAAACAAACUUCAUCUCAUCUGUAUUCACAUCUGUUGUCAAGUCCAUCCUACUCUGGAUGGAACCAGAAGAGACAGAAAACUCUGCAGUCCCACCUCCUUCCUCACAGCAGGUCCUUGGAGCUGCCAGCUCAGCACACCCUCAAGUCAGCCCUUGCCAGUGGAUGAAAGAGCUGCUUUGGCCUCAUUCCAAAAGGAAUGAAGAACCCUGGGAAACACCUGGAACCCCUGGAACCCCCCACCACUUGGAGAUUGGGGUGGUGUGGAGAAAUAGACUUUGUGCCCGCAGUUGCUGUCAAAUCCAACUUCUUCUGCCCAGAACUUGUAAGAGAUAAAGAGCACAUUUGAAGACCCCCCUCCUGCUGCAAAGCAGGACCAGGGACCUCCCAAUCCAGACCUCUAUCAUGUCUGUGCUCAGAGUCAGGACCACCACCUGGGCUGGAUGGAAGAAGGAAGCCAAGCAGGUGGGGGCACUUAAUCCCAUCUGCACCCGUAGGGCUUGUCCACAUUUCAGCUUAUCCCAUUCUGGAAAGCACAGGUACAAGCCAUUUUAUGUUUGCCCAUGUUUUCUAGACAUGAGUCGGGCUGGUUUUGCCUUUGCCCCACUGCUUCCCCCUGGAAAACCUGCUCUUCAACCCUAAAUCAGAACAACCCGCAAUCUUUGGAGAAUCCAACUGCCCUUUGCUGCCAUUCGGAAGUCAACCACUGGUUUUCCCUGGGGAAAGAAGCAGGGGAAACUGAGCUGUGCUCUUCCUUCUGGAUCAAAGACAUCGGUUUGGAAAGACUUGUUAGUUUAUAUCCAUUUAGGGACGCGGGUGGCGCUGUGGGUAAAACCUCAGCGCCUAGGACUUGCCGAUCGCAUGGUCGGCGGUUCGAAUCCCCGUGGCGGGGUGCGCUCCCGUUUCUCGGUCCCAGCGCCUGCCAACCUAGCAGUUCGAAAGCACCCCUGGGUGCAAGUAGAUAAAUAGGGACCGCUUACUAGCGGGAAGGUAAACGGCGUUUCCAUGUGCUGCGCUGGCUCGCCAGAGCAGUUUCGUCACGCUGGCCACGUGACCUGGAAGUGUCUGUGGACAGCGCUGGCUCCCGGCCUCUAGAGUGAGAUGAGCGCACAACCCUAGAGUCUGUCAAGACUGGCCCGUAGGAGCAGGGGUACCUUUACCUUUAUCCAUUUAGAUCCUUUUCAGGAAAUGUGAAAUAUUACAGACCGGCGUGCCAAUUGCAGGAGUGGAUAUCUGCCACCCAAAAAAUUGUCAAGGAAGGGGCCAGGCCCCUCAGAACUCCUCAGUGGACGUGCGCAGGCUGAGUGUCCCUGCUGCAGACUGAGUGCCUUUUGAAGUUCUGGUCCUCAGAAGUUGGCAGCAGAGAGCGUAUCACUGGAAAUGUUUUCUCUCCCAGUAUGUUCUGCAAAACAGUAAUGUGAACCUUAAUACAGCAGGUGAGGGGAAAUGGUGGCCUUUUAGAAAUUGUUGGGCUCCCAUCCGCCCCAGUCAACAUGGCCAAUGGCCAGACACAUUUGGAGCUUGCUCCAGUAUGUUACUAAACUUUGAUGCCUCUUGCUUGUCUGGAGGGAGGAUGGGAAGAGAUAUGUGAAGACACUUCCACAGGAGACAGAAGUAAAAUUUGGAGGCAUAGCUCCACCCACUUUUUCUUCAGGCCCCUCCUACCAUUGGCAGGUGCCUUGCCCAGUCUAUGGCUUUAACAAGCCGCUUCCCCGCCCAGACCAGACCAGAGUCUGAAAUUAGCAUUUCUUCCUAACAAUAGCUUAGAAACUUUUACCUUUUGUAACUAAACAAUAUUUUGCUUCUUUCCUGACUAGUGCGCUUCUCGCUUAUUAUUUUUUUAAAAUUCUAUAGUCGAUUACUUCUUGUUUCAGGGAUUUUCAUGGUAAUUUCUUUUGUUCUGUGUAAUUUCUUGGUUCCGUGACUGUCUUUUUUCCACUGGUGAUUUACUGCUAGUUCGCUCCUGUCACUGACCCACUACUUAUUUUUUUAUUUUAAAAAUGCUUCAUGAAAAUCUGUCUUAUUCUCCCCUGUUUGACUGUCCCGCAAUGCUUUGCAGAAACAUGAAGCUCUAGGAGUGGCGAUUGGAUAUCCACAGAGAACAUUUGCAUAAAGGAGAAAGCCUUCAGCUCUGGGAGAUUUAAGAGAGGAGAGCGCAGGUUCCCUUCAGAAUGUCAAACUCCCCUGGAGAGCUCACCAUGGCCCUCUCUCAGUUCAUCCUUGCUGUUUUCCUUUUCUGCUCAGGUAAGGCUGUGGAGAUGAUCUCUUGUUACAGAGGCCAAGUCAAAGAUAUCAGAAUAUAUCCUAGAAGCAUAGUGCUUUAUGGAUAUUUGAGAAUGCUGAAGAUGAAUCUAGGUCCUCAUCUUUGUUUUUUCUGUUGUUGCUUCCCACUGCAAAGGUGUCUCUUCACAAUCGGCUUGGACACAGCCUGCCUCUGAAUCUGUGACCCUGGGACAAACGGUGAAACUCCCCUGUACUACUCGUGAAAGCGGUGUCAACUACAUACAUUGGUAUCAACAGAGACCAGGACAUGCCCCUCGCUAUGUCCACUGUGAGAGUUGCAGCAGGGGAGAAGGGAUCCCAGAUCGGUUCACUGCUUCCCGCUCUGGGAUCAUGGGCUAUUUAACCAUCAGCAACCUCCAGGCUGGAGACGAGGCAGUUUAUUACUGUAGCAGAUGGUAUAGCAGUGCUAGUGAGUUCCACGGUGAUGCAAACUGAUGGGGAUGUGAGACAAAAACCUUUCCUCUUCCACCAAAGAGCAGUGAGAUGUGAAUGCAUGAAAAGAACUUUCUAUGCUUUGUGCUUGCAGCUGUUUUCAAGUCAUGGGCAGAUUUGCUUUAACUGGCCAUGACUGGCCAUACAGACAACUUAAUCCACACAGAGGCUGCAACUGCAGGGAACAAACAGAGAGUGAACAGACCCAAAGCAAGUUUUUGUUCGAUCAGGCCAGACGCUCCAAGUGUCCCUAUUUUGCAGUGUCAGUACUGAAUCUAGAAAAGCCGUCCUGAUUUCUGAAUUGAUCCUGAAAGUCCCACUUUUCCUUAGAUCGUUCCAAUUUCCAUAUGAAAAAUGUUGGAAGGUAUGGAGUUAUUGAACCCACAAGCCAUUUGAAGACAGAGUUAAAUUUAUACAGAAUAUUAUGGGACAUUCAAUCAAAGGGCCAGUCCUGCUGCUUUGAAUAAUCUCCUUUAUGCAAAUCUGCCCUUUGGGCCCUUUGAUUGAAUGUCCCAUAAUAUUCUGUAGGAUCUCCAAACCCCAAUAGAAGCAAUCGAUGAUCGCGCAAGACAUUUGCAUGAAGGGGCAGCUCUUCAGCUCUGGGGGAUUUAAGAGAGGAGUGAGGAAGUUUCCUUCAGAAGUUCAAACUCCUCUGGAGAGCUCACCAUCAUGUCUUCCUUUCUCUUUCUCCUUGCUCUAAAGCGAGAUGAGCGCCGCAACCCCAGAGUCGGUCAUGACUGGACCUAAUGGUCAGGGGUCCCUUUACCUUUACCUAUGUAAAGGAAAACUCAACCACUUUAAUGUUUCCAUGAGGGAAAGAUACAUAUGUGGAGAGCUCACCAUACGAAAAAUGAUCAAUUUUGCCCCCCCAUCCCAUGUUAGAAAUUAUCACAAGCGACAUGUUGAACACUAGAUCAAAGUGUUCUCAUGAUCCAUUUUCAAAACACUAGGUAUUCCUGGGUUUUAUCGACGUGGGAUAUGCCAUCCUCUCUGUCUUGUUCUCCUCCUGGUGAAGCAUAUUCUAUAUUUUCAAAAUGGCCUUCAGGCAAAUUUGCCCCCAGGUCCUAUGCUUCAGUGUCCCAAAAGACUCUGGGGAAAUGAGAAGUCCGAGGCAAGGCCUUCACUCUCCUGUUUAAUUCUGUGCCUUCCGUGUUCUGCUAUGAAACCUUCUUUAUUUAUGCUUGCUAAGCUGCCUUUCACCACUAGGGGAAGAUAUUGGCCCUGUUUUCUGACAGAAAUGAACCGAUCACAAAGACCCCUUUGGAAACGUGCUGGGAAACAGAAAGGGGAAUGUUUUAGGGACAUGGUUGCUCUUUCUGAGCUGUACUCCUUUACUUUAUUUAAUAUCUGUGCUUACAAGCCCAUCCUUAACCAAAGGCACCAGGAAGAUGACAAAAAUACCCUUUGCACAUCUGACCACCCCAUUGAACUGAGAGGAAUUUUCUGAUUCUCCUUCAGGCCAAACCAAGGACUUGUCCUACCCCUUUUCAAGAUGCCCAUAAUGCAAAUUUGUCAUUCUGUCCUGUGCUUGAAUGUCCCACAAUGCCCUGCAGGAACAUGAAGUUCUAGCAGAGGCGAUCAGCUGAUCACCGAGGACAUUUGCAUGAAGAAGGGGCAACUCUUCCACUCUGGAGGAUUUAAGAGAGGAGAGGGGAUGAUUCCUUGAGUAAGCCAAACACUUCUGGAGAACUCACCAUGGGCCAAUUUCUAUUUCUCCUUGCUCUUUUCACUUACUGCUCAGGUAGGACUGUGGAGAUGACCUCAUGAUAUGUAGACCAAGCGAAGCUCUUUGUAUUUAUCAAUGGAAUAUAUUACUUGGUGGGUGUUUGAAAGUGCAUCCGGCUCAUAGUACCUGUUCUUUCUGGUUUUCCUUUUAGAAGGUGUCACUUCCCAGUCAGCUUGGACUCAGCCUGCCUCUGAGUCGGCGACCCUGGGACAAACAGCUAAACUCUCCUGUACCACUAAUGAUGGCAGCGAAAUAAUUCACUGGUAUCAACAGAGAUCUGGAGAAGCCCCUCUCUUUCUGCACUGUGAGGGUUGCAGCAACAGGGGAGAAGGGAUCCCAGAUCGGUUCACUGCUUCCCGUUCUGGGAGCAUUGGCUAUUUGACCAUCACCAACAUCCAGGCUAGAGACGAGGCAGUUUAUUACUGUGGUAGGUGGAAUACGGCUGGUAUCGUGUUCCACGGUGGUACAAUCUGAUGGGGAACUGAGACGAAAACCUAGCCUCUUCCUCCCAAGAGGGGUGAAAUGUGAAUGCUGUAGAAGAACUUCACAUGAUUUGGGUGGCUCUGCAGCAGUUGUCAAGUCAACCCUACCGUGGAAAGAUCAGAAAGCGACACAAGGAAUUCAGAAAACCCUUGUUUAUUAUUUCUGUUUGGAAAAUUACCACAUGCCUCUUCUGUGGCUAUGGCAAGGUAGAAGAUUCAGAUGGUUCGUAUCUGUGUUGCAUGCAGUGAUAAAGGGAGACCACAGAAAUAUGCUUCUAAUUUUUUUGUUGGGGAUAAUUCAGACAGAAAUCCCCAGGUGUCAAAAAAUGUUAUUUAGCCCAAAAAUGGAAAUGGCAAUGAAAAAUGAAAUGGAAAUGGAAAUGGAAAAUGAGUGAGAUCCCAACUAAAGAAGAAUGACAACUAAAGAAGAAUGAUGGAAUAUGCGCAGCUUGCGGACCUAACAUACAGAAUAAGAGAACAAGAAGAACAUACGUUUCAAGAAGAUUGGAAAAUGUUUAUUGAAUAUAUGGGGGGAAAUUGUGUACACUUGAAAACGUUGGCAGCAUUAAGAUAAAUUCAACAGUGUAAACAAGUUUUGAUGGAUGUAAUAAUGGAAUGCUGAAUGGUUUAGUUUAUGUAAAAUAUGCAGGGAUUUAUGAUAUGCAAAAUGAACCAUGGAAAGAGAAGAAGGGACGUCACUGACAUUUUAAGGUUGUUUACCUUUUUUCGUAUCUCUUAAAAGGUUGUAAACCUUUUUUCGUAUCUCUUCAAGCAUUACAGCUGGAAACCACUUAGUUUCUAUCCAACAUCCUUCUAAAAUUCCUUAAUUUUACAAUAUUUCUGUAAAUAGUCUUUAAAUUUCUUCCAGUCUUCUUUCACUGACUCUUCUCCCUGGUCUCGGAUUCUGCCAGUCAUUUCUGCCAGUUCCAUAUAGUCCAUCAGCUUCAUCUGCCAUUCUUCCAGAGUGGGUGGAUCUUGUGUCUUCCAAUACUUUGCAAUGAGUAUUCUUGCUGCUGUUGUGGCAUACAUAAAAAAGGUUCUAUCCUUCUUUGGCACCAAUUGGCUGACUAUGCCCAGGAGAAAGGCCUCUGGUUUCUUCGAAAAGGUAUAUUUAAAUACCUUUUUCAGUUCAUUAUAUAUCAUUUCCCAGAAAGCCUUAAUCCCUGGGCACGUCCACCAAAGGUGAAAGAAUGUACCUGCAGUUUCUUUACAUUUCCAACAUUUGUUAUCGGGCAAAUGAUAAAUUUUUGCAAGCUUGACUGGGGUCAUGUACCACCUGUAUAUCAUUUUCAUAAUAUUCUCUCUUAAAGCAUUACAUGCCGUAAACUUCAUACAUGUGGUCCACAACUGUUCCCAGUCAGCAAACAUAAUGUUAUGUCCAACAUCUUGUGCCCAUUUAAUCAUAGCAGAUUUCACCAUUUCAUCCUGAGUAUUCCAUUUCAACAGCAAGUUAUACAUCUUUGACAAAAUCUUAGUUUUGGGUUCUAACAGUUCUGUUUCUAAUUUUGAUUUUUCCACCUGGAAGCCAAUUUUCUUGUCCAAAUUAUAUGCCUCCAUUAUCUGAUAAUAAUGAAGCCAGUCUCGCACUUUAUUUUUUAAUUUCUCAAAACUCUGCAGUUUCAGUCUAUCUCCAUCUUGUUCCAAAAUUUCCCAAUAUUUCGGCCAAUUGGCCUCCAUAUUGAGCCUUUUCAGAGCUUUUGCUUCCAUUGGUGACAGCCACCUUGGGGUUUUAUUUUCCAAUAAGUCUUUAUAUCUUAUCCAGACAUUAAACAAUGCUUUCCUGACAAUAUGAUUUUUGAAUGCUUUGUGUGCUUUGACCUUAUCAUACCAUAAGUACCUGUGGUACCCAGUAGUUACGGUAUCAUCAGUUAUCUUGUAUCUGAGUAUUUUUAUUCCUGGUAUCUGUCGAUUUCUGUGUCGCAGGAAGCUAGGGGACAAACAGGGGAGUGCAGUGGCUGUGUUGAGAAUUGUGUGGUUCUGAGUUCAAAUGUCAACCCAUGGAUUCCACUAUGAGAAGUCCACUUCUCCAUUCUCAGUUACCCAUGUGCAACAAUAUAAUGUAAUCUAAAGCCCUUGAAAUUCUCUCUCUCUCUCUCUCCAUACUUCUUCCUUUGGAGAACUCAAGACAACGUAAAUAGGAUCCCCAAAUGGUCUUAAAUCCAUGGACUGACCGAUCCAAGAUCUGCCAUAAUGAAAUAGACCCAGGGAAGCUUUUGCUGUAAUUAAUUUAUUUGCUUUUAAGGAGUCACAAACUUUCCAUUAUUUUCUGCAAUGUCAUCAAGACUUCUAAGCCCAGACCAACUGGGGUGACUCAGAGACACUCCCGGUGGAAAUGAUCAAAACAAACCUUAUGAGAAUUUGGGAUCUGACCCCUGUCUCACACCUGUACAGCAGUAGAAAGUUUCAUGAUAGUGCUGUCAGAUGAAGAAGAGAGUCAAAAAUCUUCACUCCUCUGUGCCUUCUGUGCUUUGCGAUGAAACCUUCUUUAUUUGAGGCCUGCACAGCAUCAAAUGAUCACAAAGACCACAGAGCACAUUUGCAUGAAGGGGCAGCUCCUCAGCUCUGGGGGAUUUAAGAGAGGAAGUUUCCUUCAGAAGUUCAAACUCCUCUGGAGAGCUCACCAUCAUGUCUUCAUUUCUCUUUCUCCUUGUUCUUUUUCUUUACUGCUCAGGUAAAGCUGUGGAGAAGAUCUCAUAUUCCCUUGGCCAACAGAAAGCUAACUGCAUUUAUCAUAUUUACUUAUUUGAGAACACUGAAAAUGUUCCUUUUUCUCAAUUCUCUUACAACAGGUGUCACCUGCCAGUCAAUUUGCAUUCAGCCUGCCUCCGAGUCUGUGUCGCCGGGUGAAACCAUUAAACUCUCCGGCACAACUAGUGAUACUGGCUCUGCUGUUCGCUGGUAUCAACAGAGAUCAGGGCAGGUCCCUCGAUUUGUGCAAUAUGAAGGUAGCAGCAGGGGAGAAGGGAUCCCGGAUCGAUUCACAGCUUCUCGCUCUGGGAACAUUGGCUAUUUAACCAUCACCAAUGUCCAGGCUGAAGACGAGGCCGUUUAUCAUUGUGGCAGAUGGUAUAAUAACCUGUUUCACAGUGAUACAAACCAAUGGGGAAGUGGGACAAAAACCUUUCCUCUUUGACCAAACAGCAGUGAUCUGUGAAUGCUUGAAAUAAACUUCAUAUAGUCUGUCUCUACAUCUGUUGUCAAGUCCAUCCUACUCUGGAUGGAACCAGAAGAGACAGAAAACUCUGAAGUCCCACCUCCUUCCUCACAGCAGGACCUUGGAGCUGCCAGCCCAGCACACCCUCAAGUCAGCCCUUCCCAGUGGAUGAAAGAUUGCAUUGGGAAAGUCAGGCUGCAGACUUCAUAUCAUUCCAGAUGGAAGUCUGUUUUAGGAAUGGUGAGCUAUAAGAGAAAUGCCACCUGCUGACUGCUAAGUUGGGUCUUCAUUGAGCCUAUUGUAAUGUUCUUAUCAUUUUCUGAGCAGUAUUAUUAUUAUUAUUAUUAGUAGUAGUAGUAGUACAACUUCAAGGGGUGUGUGUGUGUGUGUGUGUGUGUGUAAAUAACCCAUAUCAUAAAGAUAACACAAUUGCCAAUAGGCCUCAUUCCAAAAGGAAUGAUGAACCCUGGGAAACGCCUGGAACCCAUGGAACCCCUCACAACUUGGAGAUUGGGGUGGUGUGGAGAAAUAGGCUUUGUGACUGCAGUUGCUGUCAAGUCCAACGUCUUCUGCCUAGAACUUGUAACAGAUAAAAAGCACAUUUGAAGACCCCCCCUCUUGCUGCAGAGCAGGACCUCUAUCAUGUCUGCGCUCAGAGUCAGCACCACCACCUGGGCUGGAUGGAAGUAGGAAGCCAAGCAGAUGGGGGCACUUAAUCCCAUCCGCACUCUUGUUCCAGGCUGCUGGAGAGUCUGGUGGGAGUCCGCCAAUUCUGCUCUCCCACGAAGGUCUCAGGGAUAGCAUUCGUGUCACUGUUGCCGGCUGCGUGCCUUUUCAUCCCAAUCUCCGCUCCUCAUAUGCCAGAAGGUGGCACCAGAGACUUUUGAAAUAACAAGAAUGAAUGUUUUCUUCACCAAGUUCAUGCAAUAAUUUAAAGUUCUAUAGUGUUGUACAGUCGGGGUAGGGAAACUCUGGCCUUUCUGAAGUUGUUGGACUCCUACUCCCAUCAGCCCCGGCCAGCAAGAGCAAUAGAAGGAUGCAAAGAGCAGGCGGACCAAUCGGCCCCUUUCUGUGCAGGAGGACAUAGAGUAGGCUGCCCGGAGUGUGCAGCUUGGUUUGUGCAGCCCUGACUAGUGGGUGUUCUUCCCCUCUUUUGAACUUCUCAAUCCUUUGUUUCACUGAUUCAUUUCAUAAUAUUUCUACACCACUUGAUCGUAUUAAAAAAGCCUCAAAGGUUAUAAAGAGAUAAGACAAUGAAGAAAAAAUCACAAUGUUACUAUAAAAAAUAAAAAAUAAAAAUACAAUAGUCAGACUGAACUUUCUAAGACUUUCUAAGAAUUAUGAGCUUUUUUCAUUCCUACACAGUCCUCUGUCCCUCCUGCCCAUAUUAGGAAUGGUCCCAAGUGAGAUAGAUGUCCCACUCCAUAAAAAGCAGUGUUCCCAGGACCCUUCCUAAUAGACGACUUGUUGCAAAGAGUUCCUUCAUGGCUGUCUCAUAAGACCCUGGCUGAACUAAGGGCCAGUCUUGCUGCUUUGAGAAAUCUCAUUUAUGCAAAUCUGCCCUCAGGCCCUUGGACUGAAUGUCCUAUGAUGCUCUGCAGGAUCUCCCAAUCCCAAUCGAGGCAAUCAAUGAUCAAAGAAGAUAUUUGCAUGAAGGGGCAGCUCUUCAGCUCUGGGGGAUUUAAGAGAGGAGUGAGGAAAUUUCCCUCAGUAGUUCAAACUCCUCUGGAGAGCUCACCAUCAUGUCAUCAUUUCUCUUUCUCCUUGCUCUUUUUAUUUACUGCUCAGGUAACGCUUUGGAGAAGAUCUCAUUUUCCAUUGGCCAACCAAAAGCUAACUGCAUUUAUCAUUUUAUUUAUUUGAGAGCACUUGAAAUAUUCCUUUUUCUGAUUUGUUAUUAAACAGGUGUCACCUGCCAGUCAAUUUGCACUCAGCCUGCCUCCGAAUCUGUGGCACCAGGUCAAACCAUUAAACUCUCCUGUACAACUAGUGAUACUAUUUCCUACGUUCGCUGGUUUCAACAGAGAUCAGGGCAGGCCCCUCGAUUUGUGCAGUAUGAGGGUAGCAGCAGGGGAAAAGGGAUCCCGGAUCAGUUCACUGCUUCCCGCUCUGGGAACAAUGGCUAUUUAACCAUCACCAAUGUCCAGGCUGAAGACGAGGCCGUUUAUCACUGUGGCAGAUGGUAUGGUAACACGUUCCACAGUGAUGCAAAGUAAUGGGGAAGUGUGGCAAAAACCUUUUCUCUUCCACCAAAGAGCAGUGAGAUGUGAAUACUGAAAACGAACUUCAUCUAAUCUGUGUCUACAUCUGUUGUCAAGUCCAUCCUACUCUGGAUGGAACCAGAAGAGACAGAAAACUCUGAAGUCCCACCUCCUUCCUCACAGCAGGACCUUGGAGCUGCCAGCCCAGCACACCCUCAAGUCAGCCCUUGCCAGUGGAUGAAAGAUUGCAUUGGGAAAGUCAAGCUGCAGACUUCAUAUCAUUCCAGAUGGAAGUCUGUUUUAGGAAUGGUGAGCUAUAAGAGAAAUGCCACCUGCUGACUGCUAGGUUGGGUCUUCAUUGAGCCUAUUGUAAUGUUCUUAUCAUUUUCUGAGUAUUAUUGUUAUUAUUAUUAUUAGUAGUAGUUGUAGUACAACUUCAAGUUGUGUGUGUGUGUGUGUGUGUGUGUGUGUGUGUAUGUGUGUGUGUGUGUGUAAAUAACCCAUAUCAUAAAGAUAACACAAUUGCCAAUAGGCCUCAUUCCAAAAGGAAUGAUGAACACUGGGAAAUGCCUGGAACCCAAUUAACCCCCCACCACUUGGAGUUUGGGGUGACGUGGAAAAAUAGGCUUUGUGACUGCAGUUGCUGUCAAGUCCAACUUCUUCUGCCUAGAACUUGUAACAGAUAAAAAGCACAUUUGAAGACGCCCCCCUUGCUGCAGAGCAGGACCUCUAUCAUGUCUGCGCUCAGAGUUAGCACCACCACCUGGGCUGGAUGGAAGUAGGAAGCCAAGCAGAUGGGGGCACUUAAUCCCAUCCGCACUCUUGUUCCAGGCUGCUGGAGAGUCUGGUGGGAGUCCGCCAAUUCUGCUCUCCCACGAAGGUCUCAGGGAUAGCAUUCUUGUCACUGUUGCCGGCUGCGUGCCUUUUCAUCCCACUCUCCGCUCCUCAUAUGCCAGAAGGUGGCACCAGAGACUUUUGAUAUAACAAGAAUGAAUGUUUUCUUCACCAAGCUCAUGCAAUAAUUUAAAGUUCUAUAGUGUUGUACAGCGGGGGUAGGGAAACUCUGGCCUUUCAGAAGUUGCUGGACUCCAACUCCCAUCAGCCCCGGCCAGCAAGAGCAAUAGAAGCAUGCAAAGAGCAGGCGGACCAAUCGGUCCCUUUCUGUGCAGGAGGACAUAGAGUAGGCUGCCUUGAGUGUGCAGCUUGUUUUGUGCAGCCCUGAGGAGUGGGUGUUCUUCCCCUCUUUUGAACUUCUCAAUCCUUUGUUUCACUGAUUCAUUUCAUAAUAUUUCUACACCACUUGAUCGUAUUAAAAAAGCCUCAAAGGUUAUAAAGAGAUAAGACAAUGAAGAAAAAAUCACAAUGUUACUAUAAAAAAUAAAAAAUAAAAAUACAAUAGUCAGACUGAACUUUCUAAGACUUUCUAAGAAUUAUGAGCUUUUUUCAUUCCUACACAGUCCUCUGUCCCUCCUGCCCAUAUUAGGAAUGGUCCCAAGUGAGAUAGAUGUCCCACUCCAUAAAAAGCAGUGUUCCCAGGACCCUUCCUGAUAGACGUCUUGUUGCAAAGAGGUCCUUUCAAUGCUGUCUCAUAAGACACUGUUUGAACCAAGGGCCAGUCUUGCUGCUUUGAGAAAUCUCAUUCAUGCAAAUCUGCCCUUGGGUCCUUGGACUGAACGUCCCAUAAUGCUCUGCAGGAUCUCCAAAUCCCAAUAGAGGCAAUCGAUGAUCAAAGAAAAUAUUUGCAUGAAGGGGCAGCUCUUCAGCUCUGGGGGAUUUAAGAGACGAAUGAGGAAGUUUCCUUCAGUAGUUCAAACUCCUCUGGAGAGCUCACCAUCAUGUCUUCAUUUCUCUUUCUCCUUGCUCUUUUUAUUUACUGCUCAGGUAACGCUUUGGAGAAAAUCUCAUUUUCCAUUGGCCAACCAAAAGCUAACUGCAUUUAUCGUAUUUACUUAUUUGAGAACACUGAAAAUGUUCCUUUUUCUGAUUUGUUAUUAAACAGGUGUCACCUGCCAGUCAAUUUGCACUCAGCCUGCCUCCGAAUCUGUGGCACCAGGUCAAACCAUUAAACUCUCCUGUACAACUAGUGAUACUAUUUCCUACGUUCGCUGGUAUCAACAGAGAUCAGGGCAGGCCCCUCGAUUUGUGCAGUAUGAGGGUAGCAGCAGGGGAGAAGGGAUCCCGGAUCGGUUCACUGCUUCCCGCUCUGGGAACAAUGGCUAUUUAACCAUCACCAAUGUCCAGGCUGAAGACGAGGCCGUUUAUCACUGUGGCAGGUGGUAUGGUAACACGUUCCACAGUGAUGCAAAGUAAUGGGGAAGUGUGGCAAAAACCUUUUCUCUUCCACCAAAGAGCAGUGAGAUGUGAAUACCAAAAACAAACAUCAUCUAAUCUGUGUCUACAUCUGUUGUCAAGUCCAUCCUACUCUGGAUGGAACCAGAAGAGACAGAAAACUCUGAAGCCCCACCUCCUUCCUCACAGCAGGACCUUGGAGCUGCCAGCCCAGCACACCCUCAAGUCAGCCCUUCCCAGUGGAUGAAAGAUUGCAUUGGGAAAGUCAGGCUGCAGACUUCAUAUCAUUCCAGAUGGAAGUCUGUUUUAGGAAUGGUGAGCUAUAAGAGAAAUGCCACCUGCUGACUGCUAGGUUGGUUCUUCAUUGAGCCUAUUAUAAUGUUCUUAUCAUUUUCUGAGCAUUAUUAUUAUUAUUAUUAUUAUUAUUAUUAUUAUUAUUAUAGGUUCAGGUUGUAUAUAUGCAUAAAUAAACUAUAUAUCAUAAAGACACCACAAUCUCCAAUGCGCCUUAUUCCCAAAGGGAAGACGAACCCUGGGAAAUGCCUGGAACCCCUGGAACCUCCCACCACUUGGAGAUUGGGGUGGUGUGCAGAAGUAGGUUUUGCACCUGCAGUUGCUGUCAAGCCAAACUUCCUCUGCCUCAAACUUGUAAGAGCAAAGAACACAUUUGAAGACCCCCCUCCUGCUGCAGAGCAGGACCAGGGACCUCCCAGCCCAGCCCUCAAUCCCAUCCACACCAGGAGUGCCAGGCUUCUGCAGAUUCCUAGGGCUUGUCUAAUUUCUGGAAAGCACAGCUAGAAGGACUUUUACGCUUUGCCCCUGAUUUCUAGACAGGAGUCUGUCUGGUUUUGCCUUGGCCCCGCUGCUUUCUCCGGAAAACCUGCUCUUCAACCCUAAAUUGGAACAACUGGCAAUCUGUGAAAAAUCAAACUGCCCUUUCCUGCCAUUCAGAAGUAAACUGCAGCUUUUUCCUGGGUAAAGAGGCAGGGGAAAUGGAGCUGUGUCCUUCCUUUUGGAUCAAAGUGGUCGGUUUGGAAAGGCUUGGGAGUUUAUAUCUAUUUAGAUCCAUUUGAGGAAAAGUGAAAUAUUAGAGACACACGCACCAAUGGGGGUGCAGCGAACCCAAUAAUUGUCAAGGAAGGGGCCAGGCCCCUCAAAACUGCCCAGCGGAUGUGCUCACCUGCCACGGGGAGUGCUUGUGUCAGUGGUGCAAGCUGUAGGGCAUGCGCGCGGCAUGCCAGACCACCCUGUGACGUUCGUGCCUGAUGUCAGAAUGGAGGUCUGCUCUGCAAAGCAGUAACGUGAACCUGAAUACGGCAGCUGUGGGGAAAUGGUGGCCUUUCAGAAAUGGGUGGACUCCCAUCAGCCCCAGUCAGCAUGGCCAAUGGCCAGACACAUUUGAGCCUUUCUCUAAGUGUUCCUAAAAUUUGACAAUGCCUCUUGCUUGUCUGGAGGGAGGAUGGAAAGAGACGUGUGAAGACACUUUCGCAGGAGACAGAAUUAAAAUUCAGAGCCAUUGCUCCACCCACUUUUUGCUCUGGUCCCUCCUCCCAUUGGUAGGUGCCUUGGCCAGUCCAUGGCUUUAACAAGCCUCUUUUCCUCCCAGACCAGAAGUGGAGUCUGAAUCUAGCAUUUCUUCCUACCAAUAGCUUAGAAACUUAUGUAAGUAAGCAACAUUUGGCUUCUUUUCUGUCUGGUGAUUUACUGCUGGCUCGCUCCUGUCACUGACCCACUACUUUUUUCUUUUUAAUGCCCUUUUUGAAAAUCGGUCCUAUUCUCCCCUGUUUGACUGCCCCACAAUGCUUUGCAGGAACAUGAAGCUCUAGGAGAGGUGAUUGGAUAUCCACAGAAUCAGGGCUGUAGCUAGGGGGUGGUGAGGUGGUCCCCCGCCAGGGGUGCAGGUGAGGAGGGGGCACAGAAUUAGCUAAAAUAUAUGCAUAAAUAUGUCUAUAAAUAAAAAUAUUGAUAGUGCCUCAUAAGAAAAGGCUUUAAAUAGAGGGUGAAUGGAAUAGGUGAAGGGGGUGGGGUUUGGAGGAGAGGCGGAAAGAAGAGCAACCAAUAAUUUGUCUGUGUCAAGUGGGUGCAAUCCGGAUUGUUCUGCCAGGGGCACAAGAUCACCUAGCCACAGCUCUGCACAGAGCACAUUUGCAUGAAGGGGAAAGCCUUCAGGUCUGGGAGAUUUAAGAGAGGAGAAGGCAAGAUCCCUUCAGAAAGUCAGACUCCCUGGAGAGCUCACCAUGGCCCUCCCUCAAUUCAUCUUUGCUAUUUUGCUUUACUGCUCAGGUAAGGCUGUGGUGAUGAUUUCUUGUUAUAGAGGCAAAGCCAAAGAUAUUUGAAUCUGUCCUAGAAACAUAGUGCUUUGUGGGUAUUUGUGAAUGCUGAAAAUUAAUCUAGGUCCUCAUCUUUGCUUUUUCUGUUGUUGCUUCCCACUGCAAAGGUGUCUCUUCACAAUCAGCUUGGACACAGCCUGCCUCUGAAUCUGUGACCCUGGGACAAACGGUCAAACUCUCCUGUACUACUGGUGAAAGCGGUGACAACUACAUAUAUUGGUAUCAACAGAGACCAGGACAGGCCCCUCGCUUUGUGCACUGUGAGAGUUGCAGCAGGGGAGAAGGGAUCCCAGAUCGAUUUACUGCUUCCCGCUCUGGGAUCAUGGGCUAUUUAACCAUCAGCAACCUCCAGGCUGGAGACGAGGCCGUUUAUUACUGUUGCAGAUGGUAUAGCAGUGCUAGUGAGUUCCACGGUGAUACAAACGGAUGGGGAUGUGAGACAAAAACCUUUCCUCUUCCACCAAAGAGCAAUGAAAUGUGAAUGCUUAAGAAGAACUUCCUAUGCUUUGUGCUUGCAGCUGUUUUCAAGUCAUGGGCAGAUUUGCUUUAACUGGCCAUGACUGGCCAUACAGACAACUUAAUCCACACAGAUGCUGCCACUGCAGGGAACAAACAGAGAGUGAACAGACCCAAAGCAAGUUUUUGUUCGAUCAGGCCAGACGCUCCAAGUGUCCCUAUUUUGCAGUGAGUACUGAAUCUACAAAAGCCGUCCUGGUUUCUGAAUUGAUCCUGAAAGUCCCACUUUUCCUUAGAUCGUUCCAAUUUCCAUAUGAAAAAUGUUGGAAGGUAUGGAGUUAUUGAACCCACUAGCCAUUUGAAGACAGCCCUGUAUAGCCAAGUUUUUAAUGCUUAAUGUUUUAUUAUGCUUUUGUAUAUGUUGGAUGCCACCCAGAGGGGCACCCCAGUCAGAUAUGCAGCGUAUAAAGAGUUAAAUUAUUAUUAUGGGAUAGGAGGUCCCGAUUUUCAUUGGAGAAAUGUUGGAGGGUACAUUGACAGGCAUCUGCCUGAGGGUCACAUUCCCCACCUGGUAACUUUCCAUGGGACCCACAUUACUGGUGGGUGGGGCCAGAGGCAAAGGUGCAAUGAAUUGAUAUUUCACCUCUCUACUGUAGGCUAGUUUUCCCCACACUCCCUAUCCCCCAUUCAGGAAAGCGAGAGGCAUCAACGGAAUGCGAGGGAACAAACCGAGGCAGUGGAAGGUGUGGCUAGAGGAGAGUGGGUGUGGCCUAGAGCAGUGGCAAAGUGUGUGUGUGGGGGGGAAUGGGGUGCUUUUCCCACACACAAGGUUGUUAGGGGCACAAAAUUUGUACACUUGGUGCUGCCACAAUACAGCUGCAUACUUCCUUCACUGUGCUCGCUUGAAAACAGGUUCUCCAUGUGAAGCUGAGCUCUCCAGACAAUGGUGCGACACUCUUGUCUCUUUGGUUGCAAUCUCCUGGGUGAUGCAGAGGCCACUAGGCAGGUGAAUGUGCAUGCGUACUUUGUCCGUUUCCCUCCCACCCACCAUCGCUCUUCACGCUGGCCGCUGCAACCCAUGCUACACCACUGGCCUAGAGGGCCAAAUUGAGUCACUCUCAGACACAUUGCUCUCCGAGCUUGAGGCUCCUCACCUUGUUGCAUAUUGAUGAGCUGCUUCCGGUGUUGUCAACGGCUUCUGGCUAAUUGCCCAGGAAAUCAGAGAGGAAGAGAAAGAGUGCGCUUUCUAGUGACGCCCUGUGUGAUGCAAAAAUCAGGCACUGUCCCUGACUCUCGUCUUCCAUUGUGUUUCUUAGUUGUGGCACCUCAGGAGCUCUAGAUCCAAUGCCCUCCCCCUUCAGCUGGACAGAGAGUCGGGGAGAGAGGGAGGGAGAGAGGGAGAGAGAGAGAGGGAGAGAGAAUGUCUGUAGGAUACAAAAACUCCUGCUCCCUGACCCUCAUGUCUGCCCUGAUCCUACACCGAGUAACCAAGUGGACUCAGCUGGGUGAGACCAACUCCCCUCUGCUUUCAGAGGUGGUUCAACUGGUUUGGCCAAAUUGGAAACCGUGUGACAGGGGGUGCCACACCAAUGCUGUAGAAUGGGGCAUGAGACGUGGGAGCAUGUGUCCAAUUUUAGCAUCGCACAAGGCGCUGCUGAAUUCCGGGAGCCCAAAGACUGCCAUUUCUGCCCUCCCACGAAGGUCUCAGGGAUACCGUUCUUGUCACUCUUGCUGGCUGUGUGCCUUUUCAUCCCAAUCUCCGCUCCUCAUAUGUCAGAAGGUGGCAGCAGAGACUGUGCUACGUGAAAUACUGAGAAUGAAUGUUUUCUUCACCAAGUUUACGCAACAAUUCAAAGCUUAAUAGUUUUGUACACUGGGGGUAUGCAAACCCUGGCUGUCCUAGGUUGUCCAUGUUCAAAAAAGAUAAUGCAAAACAAGAAAAAUUCACAACCUUACUUUAAACUAUAUAAAGUUAAGAUACAAAGACAGACUGAACUUGGGAAGACAUUCUGAGAAUUAUGAACUUUUUUCAUUCCUACACAGUCCUCUGUCUCUCCAGCCCAUGUUAGGAAUGGACCCAAGUGAGAUGUUCCACUCUAUAAAAAACAGUGUUUCCAGGACCCUUCCUGAAAGAUGUCUCACUCAUGACAUCCUGGCUGAACUAUGGGCCAGUCCUGCUGCUUUGAAUAAUCUCCUUUAUGCAAAUCUGCCCUUGGGCUCUUUGAUUGAAUGUCCCAUAAUGCUCUGCAGGAUCUCCAAACCCCAAUAGAGGCAACUGAUGAUCACAGAAGAUAUUUGCAUGAAUGGGCAGCUCUUCAGCUCCGGGGGAUUUAAGAGAGGAGUGAGGAAGUUUCCUAUAGAAGUUCAAAGUCCUCUGGAGAGCUCACCAUCAUGUCUUCAUUUCUCUUUCUCUUUGCUCUUUUUAUUUACUGCUCAGGUAAAGCUGUGGAGAAGAUCUCAUGUUCCAUUGGCCAACCAAAAGCUAACUGCAUUUAUCAUUUUUAUUUAUUUGAGAGCACUAAAAAUGUCCCCUUUCUCCAUAUUUUUUUAAACAGGGGUCACCUGCCAGUCAAUUUGCACUCAGCCUGCCUCUGAGUCUGUGUCGCCGGGUCAAACCAUUAAACUCUCCUGUACUACUAGUAAUACUGGCGCCUACAUUGGCUGGUAUCAACAGAGAUCAGGGCAGGCCCCUCGCUUUGUGCACUGUGAAACUGGCAGCAGGGGAGAAGGGAUCCCGGAUCGAUUCACGGCUUCUCGCUCUGGGAACAUUGGCUAUUUAACCAUCACCAACGUCCAGGCUGGAGAUGAGGCCGUUUAUUACUGUGGCAGAUGGUAUAGCAGUGCUAGUGCGUUCCACAGUGAUGCAAACUGAUGGGGAACUGAGACAAAAACCUUUCCUCUCCCACCAAAGAGCAGUGAGAUGUGAAUACCAAAAACAAACAUCAUCUAAUCUGUGUCUACAUCUGUUGUCAAGUCCAUCCUACUCUGGAUGGAACCAGAAGAGACAGAAAACUCUGAAUUCCCACCUCCUUCCUCACAGCAGGACCUUGGAGCUGCCAGCCCAGCACACCCUCAAGUCAGCCCUUCCCAGUGGAUGAAAGAUCUGCUUUGGGAAAGUCAGGCUGUAGAUUUCAUAUCUUUGCAAAAUAGGAGUCUGUUUUAGGAAUUGUGAGCUAUAGCAUAAAUGUCACCUGUGGAUUGCUAGGUUGGUCUUCACUGAGCAUAUUAUAAUAUCAUUAUUAUUUACUAAGCAUUAUCAUUAUGAUUACUAUUAUUACAGGCUCAGGUUGUAUAUAAAGGUAAAGGAACCCCUGACCAUUAGGUCUAGUUGUGGCCGACUCUGGGGUUGCGGCACUCAUCUCGCUUUAUUGGACGAGGAAGCCGGCGUACAGCUUCCGGGUCAUGUGGCCAGCAUGACUGAGCCGCUUCUGGUGAACCAGAGCAGCACACGGAAACGCCGUUUACCUUCCUGCCGGAGUGGGACUAUUUAUUUGCUUGCACUGAGUGCUUUCAAACUGCUAGGUUGGGAGGAGCAGGGACUGAGCAACAGGAGCUCACUCCGUUGCUGGGAUUCGAACCGCCGACCUCCUGAUCGGCAAGUCCUAGGCACUGUGGUUUAACGCACAGCGCCACCCGCAUUCCUUCAGGUUGUAUAUAUGUGUAUAUAAAAUACAUAUCAUAAAGACACCACAAUCUCCAAUGGGCCUCAUUACGAAUGGAAAGACGAACCCUGGGAACCACUUGGAACCACUGGAACCUCCCACCACUUGGAGAUUGAGGUGGCUUGCAAAAAUAGGCUUUGUGCCUGCAGUUGCUGUCAAGUCUAGCUUCUUCCGCAUAGAACUUAUAAGAGAAAAAUAGCAAAUUUGAAGUCCCCCCUGCAGUACUGCUGGUACUGCAGCUACAAGGACUUUUAUGCUUUUUCCAUGAUUCUAGACAUGAGUCUGCCUGGUUUUGCCUUUGCCCUGCUCCUUUCCCCUGGAAAACCUGCUCUUCACCCCUCAAUUGGAACAACCAGCAAUCCGUGGAAAGUCCGACUACCAUAUGCUGCCAUUCAGCAGUAAAUUGCAGGUUUUCCCUGGGGAAAUAAGCAGGGGAAACGGAGCGGUGCCCUUCCAUUUUGAUCAAAGUUGUCGUUUUGGAAAGGCUUGUGAGUUUAUAUCUAUUUAGAUCCUUUUUAGGAGAUGUGAAAUAUUACAGACAGGCAUGCCAAUUGUGGAGUGGGCUGCCUAAAAUAUAUUGUCAAGGAGGGGCCAGGCCCCACAAAGAACCCCAGCGGAUGUGCGCACCCACCGCGGGGCAUGCUUGCGUCACUUUUGCAAGCUGCAGGGCAUGUGCACAACAUAUCAGCACACGCCAUGACAUUCGUAGGUGACGUCAGAACUGAGUUUGUGCAGCCCUGGGCCUGUCAGUUGCAGGGACAAGGGGGUGCCCUUGAUGGCAGAGAUGCUAUUUUCCAAAGCAUACUUUCCCGGACAGUAGGAAGCUGCUGUCACCAUCCCUACCGCUUGGGAAUUUCCCUUGGAUCUUGUCCCUGCUGAAGGUCACGUGCCUUUUGUUCACAAUCUCUGCUCCUUAGAAGUAGGCUGCAGAGAGCGUCUCAUUGGAAAUGUUCUCUAUCCCAAUGUGUUCUGCAAUACAGUAAUGUGAGCCUUAAUACAGCAGGUGAGGGGAAACGGUGGCCUUUUAGAAACGCUUGGACUCCCAUCAGCCCCAGUCAGCAUGGCGAAUGGCCACACACAUUUGGGCCUUUCUCCAAGGUGUUGCUAAACUCUGAAGCUGCCUCUUGCUUGUCUGGAGGGACGAUAGAAAGAGAUGUGUGAAGACACUUCCGCAGUAGACAGAAGUAAAAUUUAGAACUAUAGCUCCACCCACUUGUUCCUCUGGUCUCUCCUACCAUUGGCAGGUGCCCUGCUCAGUCCAUGGCUUUAACCAGCCUCUUCCCCCCCUCUCCCAGACCUGAACAGAGUCUGAAACUAGCAUUUUUUUCUCACCAAUAGCUUAGAAACCUUUACCUUUUGUAACUAAGCAACAUUUUUCAUAUUUCCUGACUGGUGAUUUACUGCUGGCUCACUCCCGUCACUAACCCAUUCCUAUUUUACUUUUUUAAAAAGAAAGAAAGAAAAUCUGUCCUAUUCUCCUCUGUUUGAAUGUCCCACAAUGCUUUAAAGGAACCUGAAAUUCUAGGAGUGGCGUUUGGUUAUCCACAGAACACAUUUGCAUGAAGGGGAAAGCCUUCAGCACUGGGAAAUUUAAGAGAGGAGAGGGCAAGAUCCACUCAGAAAGGCAAACUCCCCUGGAGAGCUCACCAUGGCCCUCCCUCAAUUCAUACUUGCUAUUUUCGUUUACUGUUCAGGUAAGGCUGUGGAGGUGAUCUCUUGUUCAAGAGGCCAAGCCAAAGAUAUUUGAAUCUAUCCCAGAAACAUAGUGCUUUGUGGGUGUUUGUGAAUGCUGAAAAUGAAACGAGGUCCUCAUCUUUGUUUUUUCUGUUGUUGCUUCCUCCUACAAAGGUGUCUCUUCACAGUCAGAUCCGACUCAGCCUGCCUCUGAGUCUGUGACCCUGGGACAAACGGUCAAACUCUCCUGUACUUCCAGUAACCGUGGCAGCAACUACAUUCAUUGGUAUCAACAGAGAUCAGGAAAGGCCCCUCGCUUUGUGCAGUAUGAUGGUAGCAGCAGGGGAGAAGGGAUCCCGGAUCGAUUCACCGCUUCUCGCUCAGGGAACAUUGGCUAUUUAACCAUCACCAAGGUCCAGGCUGGAGAUGAGGCUGUUUAUUACUGUGGCAGAUGGUACGGUCUCACAUCCCACAGUAAUACAAACUGAUGGGGAAGUGUGACAAAAACCUUUCUUCUUCCACCAAAGAGCAGUGAGAUGUGAAUGCUUAAAAAGAACUUCCUAUGCUUUGUGCUUGCAGCUGUUGUCAAGUCAUGAGUAGAUUUGCUUUACUGGCCAUGAUCGGCCAUACAGACAGCUUAAUCAACACAGAUCCCACCACUGCAGGGCACAAACAGAGAGUGAACAGACCCCAAACAAGUUCUUGGUAGAUCAGGACAGACGCUCCAAGUGUCUCUAUUUUGAAGGGACAGUCCUGGAUUUACAGAAGCCGUCCUGGUUUCUGAUUUGAUCCCAGAAAGUCCUGCUUUUCCUCAGGACAUCCCUAUGUCCAUAGUAGAAAUGUUGGAGGGUGUGGAGUUAUUUCACCCCCGAGCCAUCUGAAGACAGCCUUGUAUAGGGUGUGGAGUUAUCCGACUCCCAAAACAUCAAAAGGCAGCCAUGUAUGGGAAAGUUUUUAAUGCUUAGCGUUUUAUUAUGCUUUUAUAUAUGUUGGAAGACAGCCAGAGUUGCAACGCAGUCAAAUGGACAGGGUAUAAAUGGUAGAAUUAUUAUUAUGGGAUAGGACUUCUCUGUUUUCAUUGGUGAAAUAUUGGAGGGUAUGUUGACAAACAUCAGCUCCACAGUCACAUUCCCCACCUGGCAACUUUCCAUGGGUCUCAUGUCACUGGUGGGCGAGGCCAGAGGCAAAGGUGCGAUGAAUGGAUAUUUUACCUCUCUACUGUAGGCUCCCUGAUCCUCAGGUCUGCCCUGAUACAGCACCGAGUAUCCAGUUUGGCCCAGCUGGGUGAGACCAACUGCACUCUGCUCUCAGAGGUGGUUCAACUGGUUCAGUCGAAUUGGGCAUUGUGCUACAGGGGGUCCCACACCAAUGCUGUGGAACGGAGCAUGAGGGGGAGGGGCAUGCACCAAAUUUUAGCAUUGCACAGGGCGCUGCUGAAAUCUGGGAGCCCAAAGACCGCCAUUUCUGCUCUCCCACGCAGGUCUCAGGGAUAUUGUUCUUGUCACUGUUGCAGGCUGCGUGUCUUUUCAUCCUAAUCUCUGCUCCUCAUAUGUCAGAAGGUGGCAGCAGAGACUGUGCCGUUUGAAAUAACAAGAAUGAAUGCUUUCUUCACCAAGUUCAUGCAAUAGUUUAAAGCUCAAUAGUGUUGUACAGCGGGGGUAGGGAAACUCUGGCCUUUCAGAAGUUGCUGGACUCCAACUUCCAUCAGCCCCGGCCAGCAAGAGCAAUAGAAGGAUGCAAAGAGCAGGCGGACCAAUCGGCCCCUUUCUGUGCAGGAGGACGUAGAGUAGGCUGGCCAGAGUGCGCAGCUUGGUUUGUGCAGCCCUGAGGAGUGGGUGUUCUUCCUCUCUUUUGAACUUCUCAAUCAUUUGUUUCACUGAUUCAUUUCAUAAUAUUUCUACACCACUUGAUUGUAUUAAAAAGAAAUCCAAUAAGGUUACGAAGAGAUAAGAAAAGAAAAUGAAGAAAAAUUCACAAACUUACUUUAAACAUAAGAAGCUAAAAUACAAAAAGAGACUGCACUUUCUAAGACGUUUUAAGAAUUUUGAGCUCUUUCCUAUCCUACACAGUCCUCUGUGCAUCCUGCCCAUAUUAGGAAUAUUCCCAAGUGAGAUGUUCCACACUAUAAAAAGCAGUGUUCCCAGGACCCUUCCUGAUAGAUGUCUUACUGCAAAGAGUUCCUUCAUGGCUGUCUCAUCACAAUCUGGCUGAACUAAGGGCCAGUCCUACUGCUUUGAGAAAUCUCCUUUAUAUAAAUCUGCCAUUGCCCCCUUUGAUUAAAUGUCCCAUAAUGCUCUGCAGGAUCUCCCAAUCCCAAUCGAGGCAAUCGAUGAUCACAGAAGAUAUUUGCAUGAAGGGGCAGCUCUUCAGCUCUGGGAGAUUUAAGAGAGGAGUGCGGAAGUUUCCUUCAGAAGUUCAAACUCCUCUGGAGAGCUCACCAUCAUGUCUUCAUUUCUCUUUCUCCUUGUUCUUUUUCUUUACUGCUCAGGUAAAGCUGUGGAGAAGAUCUCAUAUUCCCUUGGCCAACAGAAAGCUAAUAGCAUUUAUCAUAUUUUUUUUAUUUGAGAACAGUGAAAAUGUUAUUUUUUCUCAUUUUUUUUAAAACAGGUGUCAACUGCCAAUCAAUUUGCACUCAGCCUGCCUCUGAGUCUGUGGUGCCGGGUCAAACCAUUAAACUCUCCUGUACAACUAGUGAUACUGGCGACGCUGUUCGCUGGUAUCAACAGAGAUCAGGGCAGGUCCCUCGAUUUGUGCAGUAUGAGGGUAGCAGCAGGGGAGAAGGGAUCCCAGAUCGAUUCACAGCUUCUCGCUCUGGGAACAUUGGCUAUUUAACCAUCACCAACGUCCAGGCUGGAGAUGAGGCCGUUUAUUACUGUUGCAGAUGGUAUAGCAGUGCUAGUGGGUUCCACAGUGAUGCAAACUGAUGGGGAACUGAGACAAAAACCUUUCCUCUUCCACCAAAGGGCAGUGAGAUGUGAAUACUGAAAACCAACUUCAUGUAAUCUGUGUCUACAUCUGUUGUCAAGUCCAUCCUACUCUGGAUGGAACCAGAAGAGACAGAAAACUCUGAAGUCUCACCUCCUUUCUCACAGCAGGACCUUGGAGCUGCCAGCCCAGCACACCCUCAAGUCAGCCCUUCCUUGUGGAUGAAACAGCUGCUUUGGGAAAGUCAGGCUGCGGACUUCCUUUUCAUUGCAAAAUAGGAGUCUGAUUUAGGAAUGUUGAGUUAUAGCAGAAAUGCCACCUGCUGACUGCUAGGUCAGUCUUCAUUGAGCAUAUUAUAAUAAUAUUAUUAUUAUUGACUGAACAUUAUUAUUAUUAUUAUUAUUAUUAUUAUUAUUAUUAUUAUUACAGGCUCAGGUUGUAUAUAUGCGUAAAUAAACCAUAUAUCAUAAAGACACCACAAUCUCCAAUGCGCCUUAUUCCCAAAGGAAAGACGAACCCAGGGAAACGCCUGGAAACCCUGGAACCUCCCACCACUUGGAGAUUGGGGUGGCGUGCAGAAGUAGGCUUUGCACCUGCAGUUGCUGUCAAGCCAAACUUCCUCUGCCUCAAACUUGUAAGAGAAAAGAACACAUCUGAAGUCCCUCCUCCUCCUCCUGCAGAGCAGGACCCUGGACCUCAUUCCUAUCCACACCCGGAGUGCCAGGCUUCCGCAGAUUCCUAGGUCUUGUCCACAUCUCUGCUUAUCCCAUUCCUGGAAACCACAAAUAAAAGCUGUUUUAUGCUUUGCUCCUGCUUUCUAGACAGGAGUCUGGCUGGUUUUGCCUUUGCCCUGCUGCUUUCCCCUGGAAAACCUGCUCUUCAACCCUAAAUCGGAAAAACCAGCAAUCUGCGAAAAAUCUGAUUGCUGUUUGGUGCCAUUCAGAAGUAAAUCUGAUUGCCAGACCUUCCAAGUGUCCCUAUUUUGCAGGGUCAGUCCAGAAUCUACAAAAGCUGUCCUGGUUUCUGAUUUGAUCCCAGAAAGUCCCACUUUUCCUUAGAUCGUCCGAAUUUCAAUCUUAGAAAUGUUGGCGGGUAUGGAGUUAUUGAACCCAGAAGCCAUUUGAAGACAGCCCUGUAGAGCCAUGUUUUUAAUGUUUAAUGUUUUAUUAUGCUUUUAUAUAUCUUGGAUGCCACCCGGAGUGGCACCCCAGUCAGAUGGGCAGGGUAUAAAGAGUUAAAUUAUUAUUAUGGGAUAGGAGGUCCCGAUUUUCAUUGGAGAAAUGUUGGUGUGUACGUUGACAGGCAUCUGCCCGAGAGUCAUAUUUCCCCACCUGGUAACUUUCCAUGGGUCCCAUGUCACAGGUGGGUGGGGCCAGAGUCAAAGGUGCCAUGAACGGAUAUUUUACCUCUCUACUGUAGGCUGGUUCCCCCAACACUCACUAUCCCCCAUCCAUGAAAUGAGAGGCAUCAGUGGAAUGCUAGGGCACAUCCUUGCCAGGCAGAAACCCUUGGGGUGCAAACAGAGCCAGUGGAAGGUGUGGCUAGAGGAGAGUGGGUGUGGCCUAGAGCAGUGGCAGAGUGUGUGGGGGGGAAUGGGGUGCUUGCCCCAGACACAAAAUUGUAAGGGGCACAAAAAUUUGUACACUUGGUGCUACCUCAAUAUAACUGCACACUUCUGUAAUGUGCUCCCUUGAAAAAAGGUUCUCCAUGUGAAGUUGACCUCUCCAAACAAUGGAGCGACUCUUAUUUUCUUGUCUCUUUGACUGCAAUGUCCUGGGUGAUGCGGAGGCUGUUAGGCAGUUGAAUGUACAUGCGUACUUUAUCCGUUUCCCUUCCACCCCCUCUGCACUUGGCCCCGGGUGCUGCAACCCACGCUACACCACUGGCCUAGAGGGCCAGACAGAGACACAUUGCUCUUUCACCAUCUCUGCUCCUCAUAUGUCAGAAGGUAGCAGCAGAGACUGUGCCUUUUGAAAUACGAAGAAUGAAUGUUUUCUUCACCAAGUUUAUGCAACAAUUCAAAGCUUAAUAGUUUUGUACAGCAGAGGUAUGGAAACCCUGGCUGUCCUAGGUUGUCCAUGUUCAAAAAAGAUAAUGCAAAACAAGAAAAACUCACAAUGUUACUUUAAACCCAAAGGGUGCUCAUCAAUGGUUCCUCUUCAUCCUGGAGAAGAGUGACUAGUGGGGUGCCACAGGGUUCUGUCUUGGGCCCGGUCUUACUCAACAUCUUUAUCAACGACUUGGAUGAUGGACUCAAGGGCAUCCUGAUCAAAUUUGCAGAUGACACCAAAUUGGGAGGGGUGGCUAACACCCCAGAGGACAGGAUCACACUUCAAAACGGCCUUGACAGAUUAGAGAACUGGGCCAAAACAAACAAGAUGAAUUUUAACAGGGAGAAAUGUAAAGUAUUGCAGUUGGGCAAAAAAAAUGAGAGGCACAAAUACAAGAUGGGUGACACCUGGCUUGAGAGCAGUACAUGUGAAAAGGAUCUAGGAGUCUUGGUUGACCACAAACUUCACAUGAGCCAACAGUGUGACGCGGCAGCUAAAAAGCCAAUGCAAUUCUGGGCUGCAUCAAUAGGAGUAUAGCAUCUAGAUCAAGGGAAGUAAUAGUGCCACUGUAUUCUGCUCUGGUCAGACCUCACCUGGAGUACUGUGUCCAGUUCUGGGCACCACAGUUCAAGAAGGACACUGACAAACUGGAACGUGUCCAGAGGAGGGCAACCAAAAUGGUCAAAGGCCUGGAAACGAUGCCUUAUGAGGAACGGCUAAGGGAGCUGGGCAUGUUUAGCCUGGAGAAGAGGAGUUUAAGGGGUGAUAUGAUAGCCAUGUUCAAAUAUAUAAAUGGAUGUCACAUAGAGGAGGGAGAAAGGUUGUUUUCUGCUGCUCCAGAGAAGCGGACACGGAGCAAUGGAUCCAAACUAGAAGAAAGAAGAUUCCACCUAAACAUUAGGAAGAACUUCCUGACAGUAAGAGCUGUUCGACAGUGGAAUUUGCUGCCAAGGAGUGUGGUGGAGUCUCCUUCUUUGGAGGUCUUUAAGCAGAGGCUUGACAACCAUAUGUCAGGAGUGCUCUGAUGGUGUUUCCUGCUUGGCAGAGGGUUGGACUCGAUGGCCCUUGUGGUCUCUUCCAACUCUAUGAUUCUAUGAUUCUAUGAAACUUUAAAAAGUUAAGAUACAAAGAAAGACUGAACUUUCUAAGACGUUUUAAGAAUUAUGAGCUCUUUUCAUUCCUACACAGUCCUCUAUCUAUAAAGCCCCAGCUAGGAAUGUUCCCAAGUGAGAUGUUCAACUCUAUAAAAAGCAGUGUUCCCAGGAGCCUUCCUGAUAGAUGUCUUACUGCAAAGAGUUCCUUCAUGGCUGUCUCAUCACAUCCUGGCUGAACUAAGGGCCACUCCUGCUGCUUUGAAUAAUCUCCUUUAUGCAAAUCGGCCCUUGGGCUCUUUGAUGGAAUGUCCCAUAAUGCUCUACAGGAUCUCCAAAUACCAACAGAGGCAAUCGAUGAUAGUGGAAGAUAUUUGCAUGAAGGGGCAGCUCUUCAGCUCUGGGGGAUUUAAGAGAGGAGUGAGGAAGUUUCCUCCAGAAGUUCAAACUCCUCUGGAGAGCUCACCAUCAUGUCUUCAUUUCUCUUUCUCCUUGCUCUUUUUAUUUACUGCUCAGGUAAAGCUGUGGAGAAGAUCUCAUGUUCCAUUGGCCAACCAAAAGCUAACUGCAUUUAUCAUUUUUAUUUAUUUGAGAGCACUAAAAAUGUUCCCCUUUCUCCAUAUUUUUUUAAACAGGAGUCACCUGCCAGACAAUUUGCACUCAGCCUGCCUCUGAGUCUGUGGCGCCGGGUCAAACCAUUAAACUCUCCUGUACAACUAGUGAUACUGACUCCUACAUUGGCUGGUAUCAACAGAGAUCAGGGCAGGCCCCUCGAUUUGUGCAGUAUGAAGGUAGCAGCAGGGGAGAAGGGAUCCCGGAUCGAUUCACGGCUUCUCGCUCUGGGAACAUUGGCUAUUUAACCAUCACCAACGUCCAGGCUGGAGAUGAGGCUGUUUAUUACUGUUGCAGAUGGUAUAGCAGUGCUAGGGCGUUCCACAGUGAUGCAAACUGAUGGGGAACUGAGACAGAAACCUUUCCUCUUCCACCAAAGGGCAGUGAGAUGUGAAUACUGAAAACCAACUUCAUGUAAUCUGUGUCUACAUCUGUUGUCAAGUCCAUCCUACUCUGGAUGGAACCAGAAGAGACAGAAAACUCUGAAGUCUCACCUCCUUUCUCACAGCAGGACCUUGGAGCUGCCAGCCCAGCACACCCUCAAGUCAGCCCUUCCUUGUGGAUGAAACAGCUGCUUUGGGAAAGUCAGGCUGCGGACUUCCUUUUUCAUUGCAAAAUAGGAGUCUGAUUUAGGAAUGUUGAGUUAUAGCAGAAAUGCCACCUGCUGACUGCUAGGUCAGUCUUCAUUGAGCAUAUAAUAAUAAUAUUAUUAUUAUUGACUGAACAUUAUUAUUAUUAUUAUUAUUAUUAUUAUUAUUACAGGCUCAGGUUGUAUAUAUGCGUAAAUAAACCAUAUAUCAUAAAGACACCACAAUCUCCAAUGCACCUUAUUCCCAAAGGAAAGACGAAGCCAGGGAAACGCCUGGAACCCCUGGAACCUCCCACCACUUGGAGAUUGGGGUGGCGUGCAGAAGUAGGCUUUGCACCUACAGUUGCUGUCAAGCCAAACUUCCUCUGCCUCGAACUUGUAAGAGAAAAGAACACAUCUGAAGUCCCUCCUCCUCCUCCUGCAGAGCAGGACCCUGGACCUCAUUCCUAUCCACACCCGGAGUGCCAGGCUUCCGCAGAUUCCUAGGUCUUGUCCACAUCUCUGCUUGUCCAAUUUCUGGAAAGCACAGCUAUAAGGACUUUUACGCUUUGCCCCUGCUUUCUAGACAGGAGUCUGGCUGGUUUUGCCUUUGCCCUGCUGCUUUCCCCUGGAAAACCUGCUCUUCAACCCUAAAUCGGAAAAACCAGCAAUCUGCGAAAAAUCUGAUUGCUGUUAGGUGGCAUUCAGAAGUAAAUCUGAUUGCCAGACCUUCCAAGUGUCCCUAUUUUCCAGGGUCAGUCCAGAAUCUACAAAAGCCGUCCUGGUUUCUGAUUUGAUCCCAGAAACUCCUGCUUUUCCUCAGGACAUCCCUAUGUCCAUAGUAGAAAUGUUGGAGGGUGUGGAGUUAUUUCACCCCCAAGCCAUCUGAAGACAGCCUUGUAUAGGGUGUGGAGUUAUUCGACUCCCAAACCAUCAAAAGGCAGCCAUGUAUGGGAAAGUUUUUAAUGUUUAGUGUUUUAUUAUGCUUUUAUAUAUGUUGGAAGACAGCAAGAGUUGCAACGCAGUCAAAUGGACAGGGUAUAAAUGGUAGAAUUAUUAUUAUGGGAUAGGACUUCUCUGUUUUCAUUGGUGAAAUAUUGGAGGGUAUGUUGACAAACAUCAGCUCCACAGUCACAUUCCCCACCUGGCAACUUUCCAUGGGUCCCAUGUCACUGGUGGGUGGCGCCAGAGGCAAAGGUGCGAUGAAGGGAUAUUUUACCUCUCUACUGUAGGCUCCCUGAUCCUCAGGUCUGCCCUGAUACAGCACCGAGUAUCCAGGUUGGCCCAGCUGGGUGAGACCAACUGCACUCUGCUCUCAGAGGCUUUUCAACUGGUUUCGUCGAAUUGGGCAUUGUGCUACAGGGGGUCCCACACCAAUGCUGUGGAACGGAGCAUGAGGGGGAGGGGCAUGCGCCAAAUUUUAGCAUCGCACAGGGCGCUGCUGAAAUCUGGGAGCCCAAAGACCGCCAUUUCUGCUCUCCCACGCAGGUCUCAGGGAGCCUGUUCUUGUCACUGUUGCAGGCUGCGUGUCUGUUCAUCCCAAUCUCUGCUCCUCAUAUGCCAGAAGGUGGCAGCAGAGACUGUGCCAUUGAAAAACCGAGAAAGAAUGUUUUCUUCAAUAAGUUUAAGAAAGAACUUAAAGCUUAAUAAUUCUGUACAGUGGGGGUAGGGAAACUCUGGCCUUUCAGAAGUUGUUGGACUCCAACUCCCAUCAGCCCCGGCCAGCAAGAGCAAUAGAAGCAUGCAAAGAGCAGGCGGACCAAUCGGCCCCUUUCUGUGCAGGAGGACAUAGACUAGGCUGGCCAGAGUGCGCAGCUCGGUUUGUGCAGCCCUGACUAGUGGGUGUUCUUCCCCUCUUUUGAACUUCACAGUUAUUUGUUUCACCGAUUCAUUUCAUAAUAUUUCUACACCACUUGAUUGUAUUAAAAAAGCCUCUAAGCAAGUUACAAAAAGAUAAGAAAAGAAAAGAAAAUGAAGAAGAAUUCACAACAUUACUUUAAAAGAUAAAAAGUAAAAAUACGAAGACAGACUGAACUUUCUAAGACAUUUUAGGAAUUAUGAGCUUUAUUUGUUCCUACACAGUCAUCUGUCUAUCCAGCCCAGGUUAGGAAUGGUCCCAAGUGAGAUGUUCCACACAAUAAAAACCAACCUAUUAAAAGCAUUGUUCCCAGGACCCUUCCUGAUAGAUGUCUUGCUGCAAAGAGUUCCUUCAUGGCUGUCUCAUAAGACCGUGGCUGAACUAAGGGCCAGUCUUGCUGCUUUGAGAAAUCUCAUUUAUGCAAAAUCUGCCCAUGGGCCCUUGGACUGAAUGUCCUAUGAUGCUCUGCAGGAUUUCUAAAUCCCAAUAGAGGCAAUCGAUGAUCUAAGAAGAUAUUUGCAUGAAGGGGCAGCUCUUCAGCUCUGGGGGAUUUAAGACAGGAGUGAGGAAGUUUCCUUCAGAAGUUCAAACUCCUCUGGAGAGCUCACCAUCAUGUCUUCCUUUCUCUUUCUCCUUGCUCUUUUUGUUUACUGCUCAGGUAAAGCUGUGGAGAAGAUCUCUUGUUCCACUGGCCAACCAAAAGCUAACUGCAUUUAUCAUAUUUACUUAUUUGAGAAGACUGAAAAUGUUCCUUUUUCUCAAUUCUCUUAAAACAGGUGUCAUCUCUCAGUCAAUUUGGACUCAGCCUGCCUCUGAGUCUGUGGCGCUAGGUCAAACCAUUAAACUCUCCUGUACUACUAGUGAUACUGGCUCCUACAUUGGCUGGUAUCAACAGAGAUCAGGGCAGGCCCCUCGCUUUGUGCAGCGUGAGGGUGGCAGCAGGGGAGAAGGGAUCCCGGAUCGAUUCACGGCUUCUCGCUCUGGGAACAUUGGCUUUUUAACCAUCACCAACGUCCAGGCUGGAGAUGAGGCCGUUUAUUACUGUUGCAGAUGGUAUAGCAGUGCUAGUGCGUUCC